AACGAACGCUGGCGGCAGGCCUAACACAUGCAAGUCGAACGCCGUAGCAAUACGGAGUGGCAGACGGGUGAGUAACGCGUGGGAACAUACCCCUCGGUUCGGAAUAACUCAGGGAAACUUGAGCUAAUACCGGAUACGUCCGAGGUUUUAAUCGACCUUGGAGAAAGAUUUAUCGCCAUUGGAUGGGCCCGCGUAGGAUUAGCUAGUUGGUGAGGUAACGGCUCACCAAGGCGACGAUCCUAGCUGGUCUGAGAGGAUGAUCAGCCACACUGGGACUGAGACACGGCCCAGACUCCUACGGGAGGCAGCAGUGGGGAAUAUUGGACAAUGGGCGCAAGCCUGAUCCAGCCAUGCCGCGUGAGUGACGAAGGCCUUAGGGUUGUAAAGCUCUUUUGGCGGGGAAGAUAAUGACGGUACCCGCAGAAUAAGCUCCGGCUAACUUCGUGCCAGCCGCCGCCGUAAG
rnacentral:rRNA from 1 species